GACGAACGCUGGCGGCGUGCUUAACACAUGCAAGUCGAACGGAAAGGCCCUGCUUGCAGGGUACUCGAGUGGCGAACGGGUGAGUAACACGUGGGUGAUCUGCCCUGCACUUCGGGAUAAGCUUGGGAAACUGGGUCUAAUACCGGAUAGGAGCCAUCUUUAGUGUGGUGGUUGGAAAGUUUUUUCGGUGUAGGAUGAGCUCGCGGCCUAUCAGCUUGUUGGUGGGGUAAUGGCCUACCAAGGCGGCGACGGGUAGCCGGCCUGAGAGGGUGUACGGCCACAUUGGGACUGAGAUACGGCCCAGACUCCUACGGGAGGCAGCAGUGGGGAAUAUUGCACAAUGGGCGCAAGCCUGAUGCAGCGACGCCGCUUGGGGGAUGAAGGCCUUCGGGUUGUAAACUCCUUUCGCUAGGGACGAAGCUUUUUGUGACGGUACCUAGAUAAGAAGCACCGGCUAACUACGUG
rnacentral:rRNA from 1 species